CUGCGUGUCUCUUGUGUGUGUGUGUGUGUGUGUGUGUGUGUGCGCGCGCGCACGCGUGCGCACACGCGCGCACGCC
rnacentral:miRNA from 14 species